CUAGGUCACCACAUUGCUGGAUCCAGAGUGACUUUGCAUAACCUCAAAAGAGGUCAGCUCCCCUGGUUCUCAGGCCUUGGACUCAGACUAGAAUUGCACUGCAGGCAUUCCUGGGUCUGUAGCUUGCUGAUGACAGAUUGUGGGACUUCUCAGCCUUCAUAAUCAUGGAUCCACUUGUGUGUGGUUUUGCACCUACAUGCCAUCCUGACCCCGAAAUCAGAAAAGAAGAGAGACAAUAUAAAGGAUAUUUGUAUCAAAUCACUUGAGUGCCUCAGGGCAUGAGAAAGUUUUUGUGCUGAUUCAUUAUGUUACUUUAAAAAAUGCCUCGUUAUUGCAGCAAAUGCCACAUCUAAGCUUUUUAUUGUAUUAAAGAUGCAGAACACUUUCUUGAAGAAAUACAAAGAAAUCUUGUGCAUUUCUAUAUGUCGCAAUGUUUCCAUGAGUCAAUUUUCUUUGAGAAGAUGUCUUCUUGUUUUGAAUGACAAUUCAUAUAAUUAUACCAAAAACACAAACUAUUAUUGUAGCAACCAGAUGGAUAGCCAGUUACUUCCACUGGAUAAUCAAAGAGACAAAGAUACAAAUUUAUCUGUUUUUGUUUUUGUUUGAGUAUAUUAUUAUUAUUUACUGUUGAUGACUCAUGCCAUUUGAACCUGAUUUUGGAAAUUCUCAAAAAAAGAAUACAUUUAAAAAAAUAAAUUAUUGUCCUUGGA